GAAUACCAGUCUCCAGGCGGCGGCUGGCACAGCGGAGCUGCUCUCCAAGCAGCGGGGUUCCCAGGCUGGGAAGUUUGCAUUGCCGUUUCUUUGCGGGCGGGCGGCGAGCGCCGACUGCAUGCCACCUGCGAGAGGAAGAGGCCGGUGAAGUCUCACUCUGUUGCCCAGGCUGGAGUGCAGUGGCACGAUCUCGGCUCACUGCAACCUCCACCUCCCAGGUUCAAGCGAUCCUUCUGUUUCAGCCUCCCCAGUGGCUGGUAUUACAGGAACACACCACCAUGCCUGGCUAAUGCUUCUAUUUCUAUAAAUGAAGACGUGAGGCCGUGUAAGCUCCAAGAGAGCAGGGAUCUUGUUUGUCUUGAUCACCGUGAUAUUUCAGCUGCUGACCCAGUGCUUGAAGCAUAAAGAGAAACUGAGGCCCAUAAAAUUGAAUGGCUCAUCUCAGAUCAAGUGGCCAGAUCAAUGAAGAGAAAUGUCCUUAGGUCAGGCUGCUGGUGUGAAGUAUGCUCUGGAGGUCUGACAUCCACUCUCCCUUAGACUUUCUAAUACGGCAGGAAUUCCAUCCAUGAUGUGCCAGUUCUGUAAAUUUCCUAGCAAGCUUGAAGGAAGUGAAGGACAACUGCAAGGAAGGGCAGGAUGGAGCAUGCAGCCCACGUAUUCCCCAGCUUGGUGGGGCAGAAUGGGUUCUUGGCUCCUGAGGAAUGGGCAGGCAACGCACAGGGGUCCUGGGAAGAAAGGGAGAGAAUAUCCUGGGAGAGCCAUAGUCCCUGGCACCCUCCUGUGGUCCUUCAUCAGGAUAAAUUUCUAAAAGAAGAAUUACUGGCCAAAGGAUUCCUCUUCAGUUGGAAACAGCAGCAAAGUUCAUAGGUCGUGGGUGGAUGUAAAGUGGAUGGAACAGGUUGUUGCCAGUCUAUUGGAGUAGGAUGGUAGAUGAGCAGUCCCCUUGGCUAACAGCAGGGGACCCUGGGGCACUCGUCUCCAGCUCUGUCUCACUCUUUGAGGAGCUAGUUCCAGUUCUACUGUGAGUGUGCAAGGGGCUGGUCAGCUGUAGCAAAACCAGCACUGGACAUGGGGGAUCAGAAGACCCAGGCACACAUAGUUCAAGUUCUGACACAUAUUGGUAUGUGACCUUAAGUGAAUCCCUUACCCCUCUGCUGCCAUGUUUUAUGUGUAAAAUGAUAAAGAGAGGGGUGGACUGAGGUAGUAAUUUUUAAUGGAGGACAUUGGUGUGGCAAAUUACACAUGUUCUGGCCUGAAGAUUCUGAGCUGCUCUCCUUGGAGUCACAUUCUUUCCCAGUGUGUGAACAUCUGUGUGCAGUGAGAGACAUGCCUGAUGGGGAUCUGUUGCCUGAAGCCAGUGUGAAGGCAGGAAAAGGCUUGUUGGAAUUUAAAUACGACCAAUCAAAAUGCGUUUAGGCUUCAAAGGAAAAAGUUCUCCAUAAAUACACCAGAAUUUCAUUCUAACAUGAUUCAUUCAUUCAAAGAGCAAAGCUGCACAAGGGGAAGACAGCUGCCACGUGGUAACGCAGUCCUGUGAAGAGUCCCAUGUGGUGAGAGACGUGGUUGGGAGUGAGCUUGGAAGUGGAUCCCCAACCCUCGUCCCCAAACUGAGACUUCACAUGAGACUGCAGCUCUGGCCAACAGCUUCACUGUAACCUCACAACAGACCUUGAGCCAUAAGCACCCAGCUAAGCUGCAGGGAGACCCCCUGAAACUAUUGCUAUGGAAUAAAAGAUGAAAUGCUCCUGAUUAUUGUAAAUACAAAGUUGCAUGCAGGAUUGUGUAAAGACAAUGCCAGGUUGGACUGCCAGAAUGAGCCAACUGCACGUGAUGUGCUUCCCCCUGCAGAGAGCCUAUGAAUGGACGUGCAGUCAGGGAGGUUUCACAUCACCAAGAUUCCUAUCCUAGAAAGGCAGAUGUUCAUAGCUUUGGGAAUGGAAUGCGAUCCUUGGAGAGCCUAUAAAUGGAUGCUUGGCAGGGGCGCCUGUCCGUAUGGAUAAGAUAGGGCUAUAAACGCCCUCAUCUUGCCAUGGCUCUUCUAGGUCUCUUUAGGGUUAAGGCAUACUCCCUUCUGAGAAUUUCUGGUCUAACUGGUUGUCUAGCUUCACAUCCUGUUUCCAUGGAUUGUUUGUAACCAGCUUUUGUUGCAAUUGUUACUGCUGAUUAAUAUCUUGCUAAUCAUAGGUUAUGGAAAGAUUGUGUUUCUGUUUUAAGGCUCAGUUGGAAAUUACUGACACACACACUAUAUUGUAAAUUCUUAUCUCUCUAUACUGUACUUCUACAUACAAAUGUACUGUACUUCUACAUACAAAUGUUAUGUGAAUUACUUCAUCCCCAUGUGACCAUCUCACCUCAUAAUCAAAUGACCCUAAAUCCCUCACUAACCUACCCCCACCCUCACUAAACUUAAUAAUAAAUGCUGGUAUAUCCAGUGCAUUGUUGGCACCACGGGACCAGAAGGCGGUGAGCCCCCUGGACCCAGCUUUCACUAUCUUGUGUGUGUCUGUUAUUUCUCAACCUGCCGAUCCGCCUGGGAACAAAGAGAGAGCCCCAUUGCAUUGUGGGCUGCUGGCCAGAUCCUGAAGAUGCAUGCAACAAUGAGACAGAGAAAUGUGCUGAAAAAGCACCACAGCAGGAAACAACUAACACAUCCAAUCAUCAAAAAGAAGAAAAGAUCACUCUAACCCCUUUACAACAGACAAUCCAGACAGCCAUCCUGAACAACUUGUCUCCAGCAAUCCAGGUCUGGCUCAACCUCUGCCUCCUCCUGAUGACACUGAUCCUUCUACCCUCUGUCACCCCACAGACUGUUAAAAACUAUACAUAUUGGGCCUAUAUUCCUUUUCCUCCUCUUAUUCGAGCCGUGACAUGGAUGGAUGCUCCUAUCGAGGUCUAUGUUAAUGAUAGUAUUUGGAUGCCUGGUUCUGUAGAUGAUCAUUGUCCUGCACAACCUUCAGAAGAAGGAACCCCUUUCAAUAUCACUUUAGGUUUUAGGUAUCCACCUUUCUGCCUGGGACCCACUAAUGUAUGUCUCUCAUUAGAUAUUCAAACUUGGGCUGUCACACUACUGUCUGGUCACUCUGUCCCUCCUUUAGGACACUUGGUAUCAGGGCUCUCAUUAAAACCUCUAAGGCAGAUCAAAACAGUAAUCACUGAUUAUAUUCACACAUCCCAAUAUAAGCCUUUAGACCUGUGUGUCCUCUCAACUUGUCUUCAAAUGCUGACAAAAUUAAUAUGGAAAGACUGUGUUAGCUCAGAAGGAACCAUGUUAUUUAAUUCUUCUCACUACACCAUUGUUGAUUGGGCUCCUAAAGGUCAUAUUACUAAUGAUUGCUCUCAAGGUCACAGAGAUUGUCAACAUUUUCUCUAUAAUAUUACUUAUCAAAAAGGUAGUGACAACCCUCCCCUAUUAUAUCACAGAUUUAACUCCUUUUUUCCUCUUAAGUGGAAAGGGGCAGGGGUUGCACCUCCAAAGCCAAGGCUCAUUGUUCCCCACUUAGGACCUGAACAUUCUGAAUUAUGCAGAUUAACAAUAGCUAUGACUGGUAUGAGAGUUUGGGCUGGAGAAAGUGUUAUAAGUAAAUCCACCUUGUCACCUCAAAAUAUAUACAAUCUAUCUAUAUGGAGUCCAACAAAACUAUACCACUUAAAAGUUGUUAAACCACCAUAUAUGUUAUUAGUAGGAAAGUUGCACAUUAGUUCAAAAACCAACAUAAUUACGUGUGUUAAUUGUUACUUGUAUACUUGUAUUGACUCAUCCUUUAAUCAAUAUCAUAGUAUUUUAAUAGUCAGAGCCAGAGAAGGUAUUUGGCUCCCUGUAGCCUUACAUAGGCCUUGGGAAUCUUCCCCCUUUAUCCAUGUUAUUAAUAAUAUUCUAUAGAAAAUUCUUAAAAGGAGUAAACAAUUUAUUUUUACAUUAAUUGCAAUAAUAAUGGGCUUGAUUGCUGUUACUGUGAUUGCUGCUACUGCUGGAGUUGCAUUACAUCAAUCUAUUCAAACUGUUCAUUUUGUGGAUAAAUGGCAAAAAAAUUCUGCUCGGAUGUGGAAUUCUCAGGUAUUGAUCAAAAUUGGCUAAUCAAAUUAAUGAUCUAAGACAAACUGUUAUAUGGAUGGGAGAUAGAAUUAUGAGUUUAGAACAUAGAUUACAAAUGCAAUGUGAUUGGAAUACUUCUGAUUUUUGUAUAACUCCAUUUCAAUAUAAUGAGUCUGUUCACAAUUGGGAAUCAGUAAAAUGCCAUUUACAAGGAAGUGAAGAUAAUUUAAAGCUUUAGACAUAAGCAAACUAAAAGAACAGAUUUUUGAGGCCUCUCAAGCACACUUAACUGCUUUACCCGGUGCUGAAGUUUUAAACGGUAUCUCUGAGGGAUUAUGUAAUCUCAACCCCAUUCAAUAGGUAAAAUCUUUGGGAGGAUCCACUAUCGUUAAUUUUGUUCUGUGUAUAAUUUGUACUAUUGGUUUAUUGUUCAUGUGUAAAAUUGGAAAAAAUAUUCUUCAAUCCAAUUGUGAUCAGUGCCAAGCUAUGAUUGCUAUGGUUCAUUUAAAUCAGAGAGAAGGGGGAGAUGUAAGGAGACCCGCUGAAGCUGUUGCUAUGGAAUAAAAGAUGAAAUGCUCCUGAUUAUUGUAAAUACAAAGUUGCAUGCAGGAUUGUGUAAAGACAACGCCAGGUUGGACUGCCAGAAUGAGCCAACAGCGCGUGAUGUGCUUCCCCCUGCAGAGAGCCUAUGAAUGGACGUGCAGUCAGGGAGGUUUCACAUCACCAAGAUUCCUAUCCUAGAAAAGCAGAUGUUCAUAGCUCUAGGAAUAGAAUGUGACCCUUGUGGAGAGCCUAUAAACGGAUGCAUGGGGAGGUGGCUGUCCAUAUGGAUAAGAUAGGGCUAUAAAUGCCCUCAUCUUGCCACAGCUCUUCUAGACCUCUUUAGGGUUAAGGCAUACUCCCUUCUGAGAAUUUCUGGUCUAACUGGUUGUCUAGCUUCACGUCCUGUUUCCAUGGAUUGUUUGUAACCAGCUUUUGUUGCAAUUGUUACUGCUGAUUAAUAUCUUGCUAAUCAUAGGUUAUGGAAAGAUUGUGUUUCUGUUUUAAGGCUCUGUUAGAAAUUACUGACACACACACUAUAUUGUAAAUUCUUAUCUCUCUAUACUGUACUUCUACAUACAAAUGUACUGUACUUCUACAUACAAAUGUUAUGUGAAAGAAUUACUUCAUCCCCAUGUGACCAUCUCACCUCAUAAUCAAAUGACCCUAAAUCCCUCACUAACCUACCCCCACCCUCACUAAACUUAAUAAUAAAUGCUGGUAUAUCCAGUGCAUUGUUGGCACCACGGGACC